ACUCUCUUUGUUUUUUCACUGACCCGGUGAGGUUGGGAAGUUAAGUCCUGAAAGGUUCUCUCUUCUGACGCCAAGCACCAGUCCUAGCAUGUGUGCAGGUGGGUGUGACCUGCUCUGGGGCCAGUGCCAGGUGGGGAGUUUGAUUAGGGAGGUAUAUCUGUCAAACAGUAAUGCAGGCAAGUUCAGGGAGGACAGAAACCUCCCAUAGCAAAAGAGCAAAAGCUUGAUCUUGAUUUCAGUAUGAACACAGACCAUGAAAAAGGAGCCCUUUUAGGCCAGGAUGAGUCUAGACAAGGCUUUCAAA
rnacentral:ncRNA from 1 species